AGGGGGUCCAGGCUGGGUCUAGGAACACGCCAGUGCCACGGGAGGGACAGGGAGGGUCGAGGCUGGUCCCGCGGGGCGCCCCUCCCGUCCCCUCCCCCGCCCGCUGUCCGUUGGCCACGGCGCCCGCCGCUGCGCCGCGGGCCCGACUCCUCCCCGCGCGUCCGUCCGCGCGUGUCCCGCGUCCCCGCGCCCGCCGUCCCGCGCCGGCGGAACUGUGGGAUCGCCGCGCACAGGAAGUGGCGGCGGCGCCGAGGCGGAGGGCGGCGAUGGGGGCCCGGGGCGGCGGGCGCCGCACUCGCUGAGGCCCGACGCAGGGCCGGGCCGGGCCCAGGCCGAGCGCAGCGGCCGCACGCGCCGACGCGAGGAUCGCGACCAGCAGGUGGAGUGCAGGUGAGCCGCGCGCGCGCCGCGAGCCCGCCCGAGGUCGCCCCCGCCGCGGUCGCCGGGCCCGCCGCAGUGGCCGGCUGCGCUCCGCUGGCGCGCGCCUGGGAACGCGGCGCUGGAGGCUCCGGGUCCGCCCGGCCCCUAUGCGGCCUGCCGGGCUCGCCGGUGCCGUGCGGGGUGCUCGGCGGCCUGCGGAGGGGCGAUCGGGAGAGAUGGGGGUGCGGGGCCGGGGAGAGAGAGGGCCUGGGCGGCCUCUGGCCCCUCUCUGGGGGACCUUGCUCUGCUCCUGGCUCCUCGGAUUGGGGAGCCCCAAGCCUGAUUUCGGGGCCCUGUGGGCUAGUUUCACUUUUUGCUUGCUCAACAGAGGGAGGGCUGGCUGCAGGUGGGACGCCCUGCAGGAAGGUGCGAGGGCUUGCUUUGACUUUGGCGUUGAGACCAAAGGCCGACAGUGAAUUUCCACGUUUCACUCAGGCGCUGGGGUCAUUCAGUAACCAGAGCUUCUGGAGGAAAACACUUGUCCACGGUGGGCCACCAGGAGCCCUGGAGCAGUUGACCCCAGGUACCCAUGACAGGAGGAUUGUAGUACUUACGUGCAAUAUAUGCAGGUUUCCUUUUUAA
rnacentral:lncRNA from 1 species